ensembl:lncRNA
UCUUCCUGGAGAUUGCUCCUUGUGGAGUUUUUACGAGCCUACAACACCGAAAUCAUCAAGAAGAAUCAUGAUGAGCCAGCCUUUUCCUCGCAAGGUUUAGGGCUGCUCUACAGUGUUAAGGAAAUGUUGUCAUUUCGAGACAUGUUUUAUUACUCUGGGAUGAUCUAAACUGAUUACUUUUCAGAAACUCAUUUUCCAGAACUUUUCUACUGAGGAAAACCUGCAAAUCUGAAAUUAAGCCUCAUGUCCUUUGUAGCAGGUGGAAUAUGGCUGCUUGAGAAACCUGAUGCCAAUGAAUGUAUAAGGCAAGAAGCUGCUCCCAGUAUUGUCUCUCUGUGACAGCGGGUGCUGAAGAUUCCUGAGCUGUGUAACAGGGACGUCUCCCAGAGAUGAAAACUGGUCUUGGACAGCACUGAAACUUCAAUCAGACCCACAGAGUCCUGGGAGAUCCCAAGCAUUAUCAGAACAAAGGAAAAUAGUUGUGUUUUGAAAGUAUUUUGAAAGGCCAGCUUUCCUUUCAGGGCUCCUCAUUUUUCCAGUGGAUUUUUCUUUGUAACUUUUCCUUACGAUUAAGAAUGGUACUUUUCUGCAAAAUACUUUCUUGUCAUUUAAGACAGCCUUUUGUUUUCCUUUAGGGAAAAGUGAUCAUCACCCAAAGUGUUGCAUUUGGUUUAGUUUUGAUACCUAGAUCUGGUCAGUCAGGAACUUUCGUACCAUGCUGCAGGUACCUUGUGGGCAAAGAGAGCAGCAAGCAGGCAGAACCAUCACAGACUGCAUGAGACCACCUCAAAUUCCUUGUGGACUCAAGGGUAUUAUUAGGCUCUCUUUAUCUUCAUAGCUGACUAGGUCACUUAAAGGAUAUAUUCCAUCUCUUAUCCCCUUCAGUGUAAUGACUGUAUUCAUAGAAUCAUCCCAAGUGGGGAUAGGGACCCGUAAGAGUCGCUGGUCCAACUCCUUGCUCCAUACAGGACUCCCUCACAGUCAGACCGUACUGUCUCAGUGAAUCAUGUUAUGAGUCUGAUGUCCACGCAGGACCCUGAUUUGUUUCUCAUGAGUCCUUAGGACAGACAGGUGUGCUGGUAAUUUCAUAGAAGUUUGCUGUGAUUUGUGAUCUGCAUGGUUUGCUGUCCUAAAUUAGAACCCUGAUAUUGUUAGUGGAAUUCUCAGAGAAAAGAGAAAUGAAGGUGACCAAAAAGAAAAGCUAGUUUGUGUAAAAUGUUUGCAGUGAAAAGCCUUGAUCUUGCUCACGCAGAUGGAGAGAUACUAACUUAAUUUGUGUUAAACAAUUGAACUGAGAGUAGGAACUAAUAUGAAUAUUUAUAGUUGCUCGUUGUCUAGCUCACCCUAAAUUUAACCUCUCUGCUCAUCUUUUCCUUAAAGAUGGCUUCUCCCCCCAUUUUUUUGGUUAACAAGUUGUUUGAGAAACACACAGCUUACGGAAAGUAAUGGCUCUUUCAUCAUUGUGCAGUUCUGAUCUCUACUGCCCGCAGAGAUCUCAGGUUUGCUUUGUAUUGAUUUUUGCAUCUGAAGUGCAGUUUAGUAGUACAAAAAUGAAUGGAGAAGCUGCUCACACUCAAGGAGACUUUAGGCAUUGAGCCUGGGGAGCUUUUAAGAGGGAAAAAACACUGGGCAUUCUCCCUCAGAACAUCUUUCAGUAGGAUUGCAUGUCAAAAUACAUUGCAUCCAGAUGUCAUGCUCCAUCCCAGAGAGGUUAGGCAGUAGUAAGAAGUGUGACAGAGAUAGUUCAGUAUGUCUCCUUCCAGGUCUCUUUGGUAUUACCACCACUAACUGACCGCCUUUCAGACUCCUCUCUCUAGGGCUUGUGUUUGUCUGAGCCUGCCCUAACUUAUGGCCUACUGCAAAUGAUCCCUUUUCACAUCCAGACCCAAAAGCUUGUGCCAGCUUAUUCUACUUGGGAAUAUGCCAUUUGGUAUGGAAAUGCAGCAGUUCUCCAAAAUACCUUACUCAGAUUUUUCCCAGAAACCUGGCAAUGUCAAAUAAUCUGUAUUUGCUCAUGCAAGGUCAUUGUUUCAUGGCUGAUUAACAUUCUCUUGGCCUCAAAUGUAAGGGAAAGAAACAAAUAAGCACCCAAAACCUUAUGUUAACUCAAGAUGUUAGCUUCAGUUAAGUCUUGUCACUUUUUUAAUGUAAUGUGGAUCAGUUGUGGUCAACUAAAUCUACUGAAAUGAAGUGAAUAUAUUCAGUCAAUAAAACAGAAUGUGAAAACCCAGCUAUCUCUGCAGUUGGGUGGAGGCAAGGCAGUGGAUGGCUGACUGUUAGAUCUUUCUACUGGUGAGCUGCAGCGUAUUUGUGAUUACAAGGCCACCCUCCUCUUCUUUUUGCAGAUUUGUUUGACUAUUGUGUUUGAGAGGGCUGUGCCACACCUUUAGAGUAAGUCCCUUUCCCAGAACAGGAAAAAAGGGAAUCCUUAUUUCAAGAUUAUGGGCCCUCAGAGGUGCUGUCUUUUAUUAUGAAAAUGCACGUUCUCCUUUGCUUUGUAGGAGGCUGAUUUGGAUAGGGAUCUAUGGGAUGGGUGCUGAAGCAACCCAACUGUUAUCAACAUAGAGCUUAGAAAAGAAAGAUCUUAACUUUUUGUAAAUGUCUGCCAUGUAGACUUGCAUUGUGAGUAGUUGUUCUACUUUAGAAACUAAAAAAAAAACAACCUGUUUUCUCUUUCAAACAGCAUCCUUAAGCAUAUACUGCUUUAGAAUCUUGCUAAUAUUUAUUAUCUUCAAAGUAACAGUAUAACAUGGUAAGGCAAAUAGAUCUUUGACAUUUUUUGCGAGUAUUAUAAGGGUGUUGCAGCAAGGUGAGGUUUGUAAUGUUUCAAGGCCUCAUUUGUUCUUCGGUGUCUUAUUUGUCUGGUGCCUUUGCUCAAAAAGGCAAUGUCAAGGGAAAAAAAAUAAGCCUUUAAGUAUUUUGAAGUGCCCAUUUAGGAUUCACUCCUCAGAGAAAUGAAUCCUAAAUGUCAGAUAGUGUUUGAUAGUUCUCUGUAAAAUCAUCGUAUUAAGAAUUAGCCUCAUUUGACAUUUUUAAGCACUUAGACCUACCCCAAAAAAGUCAAGUGAAGAUCUAUCUACAUUUCAUAUUUUGGAGGUUUAUCCCUUUCAGUAAAAAAUGUCAAGUGAACCACUUUGCCAGUACUGAAUGCCUUUAUGCAGUCAGGGCUGAGCAUUAUUAUGUCCAUAACACACACAAAUGGGCUUCUUGACUUUUUUGUUGUUGUUUAAGGUUUAAAGAAAAUUCCCGUUGUUAUCAAUUGUUAUAAUUAUUAGUGUUAUCAGUAAAACUUUGCUGCUGGUGUCAGUAGUAGCUUAAGCCAGUUACUGAUGUCUUAAAUAGUGGAUAUCUGCAGUGUGCUAGGAGGUGUAGAGAAGAGACUCACGUAGUUAAGAUUUCUUUGUCUGCUGGGCUCCCGAGUAAUGGAUUGGCUUUUACAGACCUGCAUAUGGGAAAGUCAUUGCAAGCCAUGCCUGCAUACUGUAGUAAUACUUAGUUCUUUCUUGAUGCACCAUCAUCGCAAGUAUUUAUAGCUGAUGCAGAGAUUUUGAAGGGGAAAUUCAAGAUCCUAAAGAACAGCUACAGUGAACAUCACCUGCACAAACUCUGAUUUGCCCACCCAUGCCAACUUUCAACAAUUUGAAUAAAGAGCCCACAUAUUAGAUUAUGCAAGAUGUCAUGUUCUCUAGGCAUUGUGUACAGAAAUUAGGGAGCAAUAUGAAGAGAAAAAUAAUCUAAAACCUUUUGUAGUUGCAUUCCUUCCCUUUUUUCUUCCUUCCUUUCUCAUUUUUAGAAAAGUGUAAUUGCGAAGGCUCCUCUUCUUGUUGAAUUAAAGAAAAACUUCAGU